UUAGUAUUGACGUCUGCAUUGCGGCAUUCGGUAGAGUGUGUUAUUGCAGUGUGUAUAAAGAUAUGUCCGGGAUGCGUAUGAAAGCAUCCCGUUGCCCUACAGAUGAGCUGUCACUCACAAACUGCGCUGUUGUCAAUCAAGGUGACUUUCCAGAUGAUGUGAAACACAUUGAAGUUAGCACAGGGCCAUCACAGCACUAUAUAUUCACAGUUCGGUUUCAUUCUGAAGUCCCACGUGGUACUGUGGGCUUCAGCUUACCUCAAAGAAAAUG